AGUGAACGCUGGCGGUAGGCCUAACACAUGCAAGUCGAACGGCAGCACAGUAAGAGCUUGCUCUUACGGGUGGCGAGUGGCGGACGGGUGAGGAAUACAUCGGAAUCUACUUUUUCGUGGGGGAUAACGUAGGGAAACUUACGCUAAUACCGCAUACGACCUACGGGUGAAAGCAGGGGAUCUUCGGACCUUGCGCGAUUGAAUGAGCCGAUGUCGGAUUAGCUAGUUGGCGGGGUAAAGGCCCACCAAGGCGACGAUCCGUAGCUGGUCUGAGAGGAUGAUCGGCCACACUGGAACUGAGACACGGUCCAGACGCCUACGGGAGGCAGCAGUGGGGAAUAUUGGACAAUGGGCGCAAGCCUGAUCCAGCCAUACCGCGUCGGUGAAGAAGGCCUUCGGGUUGUAAAGCCCUUUUGUUGGGAAAGAAAAGCAGCAGGUUAAUACCCCGCUGUUCUGACGGUACCCAAAGAAUAAGCACCGGCUAACUUCGUG
rnacentral:rRNA from 1 species